UUCUCCCGUAACAACAUUCGUCUAUUUUGUGUAAAGAGCUUGUCAAUUAAGCUAGCGCAGCCCAUUUCUCCAGACGAGAAACCUCACGUCGAGACAAAGUAUAAAAGGAAAAUAAUGAAGCAUGAAUAAUUGGAACAGUUGAGCGAAAAACAUCGCAACGAAACCUGUUCUAUGAAUUUAGAUAAUUUUGCGUAACAUCCCUUUAAAGGACUUUGAAGAACGUAAUUUUAUGGUACACGUUGACAAACCUUGUCCUGAUGAUAACCAACACACAUAUAAUUAUCGGAUUUGUGGCAGAUCUUGAGUAUCGUUUUAAAUCAAAUCCAAACAAAAUUAAUCAAAUUUAAUCAUAUGGUUAAUAUUAUAAAUGUGAGACUUUGAUACGGACAGAAAUCUAUUGCCUUGGGCAGCCUACAAUCGCGUUAUCCUGGAAUGCGAGAGGAAAUAAAUCCAGGAAACCUAAGAUCGAUUUAGAAGUACUGGAAAAUUAGCCAACAAAACUUUAU